GAUGAACGCUAGCGGCAGGCUUAACACAUGCAAGUCGAGGGGUAACAGGAUUUAGUUUACUAGAUUGCUGACGACCGGCGCACGGGUGAGUAACGCGUAUACAAUUUGCCUUUUACUGAGGAAUAGCCCAGAGAAAUUCGGAUUAAUGCUUCAUAGUAUUAUUUGGUCACCUGGCCGAGUAAUUAAAGUUCCGGCGGUAAAAGAUGAGUAUGCGUCCUAUUAGCUAGAUGGUAAGGUAACGGCUUACCAUGGCGACGAUAGGUAGGGGUCCUGAGAGGGAGAUCCCCCACACUGGUACUGAGACACGGACCAG
rnacentral:rRNA from 1 species